rnacentral:rRNA from 1 species
CACGUAGGGCGCGAGCGUUGUCCGGAAUUAUUGGGCGUAAAGAGCUCGUAGGCGGCCUGUUGCGUCCGCUGUGAAAGCCCGGGGCUUAACCCCGGGUCGCAGUGGAUACGGGCAGGCUAGAGGUAGGUAGGGGAGAAUGGAAUUCCCGGUGUAGCGGUGAAAUGCGCAGAUAUCGGGAGGAACACCGGUGGCGAAGGCGGUUCUCUGGGCAUUACCUGACGCUGAGGAGCGAAAGUGUGGGGAGCGAACAGG